rnacentral:rRNA from 1 species
CUGUGGGGAAUUCAGUGAUCCUAUGCUGCCGAGAAAAGCCUCUAGUGAGUUCAUACACGGCCCGUACCCCAAACCGACACAGGUGAUCAGGUAGAGAAUACCAAGGCGAUCGAGAGAACUGUGGUUAAGGAACUCGGCAAAAUGCCCCCGUAACUUCGGGAGAAGGGGGACCAUGCCCGGUGAACAUCUUCACGGUGGGAGCUGGGUGUGGUCGCAGAGACCAGAGAGAAGCGACUGUUUACUAAAAACACAGGUCCGUGCGAAGACGUAAGUCGAUGUAUACGGACUGACGCCUGCCCGGUGCUGGAAGGUUAAGAGGACCGGUUAGCCGUAAGGCGAAGCUGAGAAUUUAAGCCCCAGUAAACGGCGGUGGUAACUAUAACCAUCCUAAGGUAGCGAAAUUCCUUGUCGGGUAAGUUCCGACCUGCACGAAUGGCGUAACGACUUCUCUGCUGUCUCGACCACAGACUCGGCGAAAUUGCACUACGAGUAAAGAUGCUCGUUACGCGCGGCAGGACGAAAAGACCCCGGGACCUUUACUAUAGCUUGGUAUUGGCGUUCGAUUCGGUUUGUGUAGGAUAGGUGGGAGACUGUGAAGCAUGCACGCCAGUGUGUGUGGAGUCGUUGUUGAAAUACCACUCUGAUCGUAUUGGACGUCUAACCUCGGCCCAUGAUCUGGGUUAGGGACAGUGCCUGGUGGGUAGUUUAACUGGGGCGGUUGCCUCCUAAAGAGUAACGGAGGCGCCCAAAGGUUCCCUCAGCCUGGAUGGCAAUCAGGUGUUGAGUGCAAGUGCACAAGGGAGCUUGACUGUGAGACUGACACGUCGAGCAGGGACGAAAGUCGGGACUAGUGAUCCGGCACCGGCAAGUGGAAGCGGUGUCGCUCAACGGAUAAAAGGUACCCCGGGGAUAACAGGCUGAUCUUCCCCAAGAGUCCAUAUCGACGGGAUGGUUUGGCACCUCGAUGUCGGCUCGUCGCAUCCUGGGGCUGGAGUAGGUCCCAAGGGUUGGGCUGUUCGCCCAUUAAAGCGGCCCGCGAGCUGGGUUUAGAACGUCGUGAGACAGUUCGGUCUCUAUCCGCCGCGCGCGUAAGAAACUUGAGGAAGGCUGUCCCUAGUACGAGAGGACCGGGACGGACGAACCUCUGGUGUGCCAGUUGUUCCACCAGGAGCAUGGCUGGUUAGCUACGUUCGGAAGGGAUAACCGCUGAAAGCAUCUAAGCGGGAAGCCUGUUCCAAGAUGAGGUUUCUCACCACCUUGCGUGGUUAAGGCCCCCUACAGACCAUGGGGUUGAUAGGCCGGAACUGGAAGCGCAGCAAUGCGUGGAGGUGACCGGUACUAAUAGGCCGAGGGCUUU